UACGAAGGUGGCAAGCGUUACUCGGAAUUACUAGGCGUAAAGGGCAGGUAGGCGGUUUGGUUAGUCUGUUGUGAAAGCUCCUUGUCUUAACGGGGAGAGGCCAACAGAUAACUGCCAGACUUGAGUAUAGGAGAGGGUACUGGAAUUCCCGGUGUAGCGGUGAAAUGCGCAGAGAUCGGGAGGAACACCAAUGGCGAAAGCGAGGUACCUGGACUAUUACUGACGCUCAGCUGCGAAAGCUAGGGGAGCAAACA
rnacentral:rRNA from 1 species